AUAAUACAGGAUUAUUAUACAAUAAGAUUAAUAUCAAAUGUAUAAUAAAAUUACUAUUAAAUUUCAUAUAUCAAGAAUAUUAGAAUUCUAAAAUCUCUUGUUUGUCAAAAGCCGAAUUCUUUUAUAUUAAAUUUUAAUUCAAAAUCCAUGUCGAGUCGCAUUCGUGAUAAAAUAUCAGAACAAAUUCACCAAUAAAUGAAUAUAUAUGUGCAACCAGAUGAAUUUUGGCAGAACUGGAACCUGUUACAUAACAGAGAAAAUAGAACAAAUUUGUUUCUGGUGAAUCUCAGUCACAGACAUGACGCAAAGCGAUACAUAUGGAGGAACAAAGUCAGCUGGCUUUUCCACUAGUUUAUCUCAGAGUCUGUCGAAAUUUGAAGAUAUCCGAGUUGUCAUGCUGAACGAACUCUAGAUAAGUAAAUUGGUCGGACAAAACUUUCCCUUCUCACUUUGCCCCUAUCUAGAACACAUACAUGAGCUCCACCGAUUAAACGCAUAUGCGUUUAUGCGCGCUUGAAAGCUGAAAUUGAUUUUUCCAGGCGAUAAUAGCUGCCUAAAUAACAGGAGCAAGGAAUAAUCUCGAUGAGAUUUUCGGAUUUCCGCAACGGAGUCGUACAGAAGAGUGAAUCUCUGUCGGAUGGAGCGUGACAAUGGAAAGUCGCUAUGGGAGAUAUACCUUCACCAUCCCUUCCUCGGUGCGACGGAGAUGGGAUGUCGGUAACCAUCUCCCGGGAAAGAAGAGGGUCCCCCAAGUAAAACUCACCGGAUGGACAAAAAAUAAUUGAUGACUAAAUGCUGUGAGCAAAUUGAGAACAAAUGCCGUAUCAGUUUUUAAAAAAGUCGCAUUUGAGGAUGUCAGCUUUGCAGAGUUAUACCUUUCUAGUUUUAAAUUUUAAAACGCGUGUGAAAAUAAAAAUUACACAUUUAUUUUUUCUAACAUAUAUGUUAAAUGUGUAUAUGCAGCUGGUGAUCGAAUAAAUAAGAUGUAAUAUACGUUAAUAAAAAAUCCUAUUAUAUAGUAUUAAUUUUAUUCAUAGAGAUAAACUUUACAUUAAAUCUUACCUAAAUUACCUCUUAUUAAUUACGAGAAUGAUGCCUUCAUAUAUAUUUUUUUCCUGAGAAAAACAUCUUAUCCUGUUAUCUGUAGAAUAAACGUAUCACGAGCGAUGUCAAUCUCUUUAUUCGA